rnacentral:tRNA from 2 species
GGGCCUAUAGCUCAGCUGGUUAGAGCGCACGCCUGAUAAGCGUGAGGUCGAUGGUUCGAAUCCAUUUAGGCCCA